rnacentral:rRNA from 1 species
CAGUCGCCGCGGUAAUACGAAGGGUGCAAGCGUUAAUCGGAAUUACUGGGCGUAAAGCGUGCGUAGGCGGUUUGUUAAGUCUGCUGUGAAGUCCCCGGGCUCAACCUGGGAAUGGCAGUGGAUACUGGCAAGCUAGAGUGUGUCAGAGGAUGGUGGAAUUCCCGGUGUAGCGGUGAAAUGCGUAGAGAUCGGGAGGAACAUCAGUGGCGAAGGCGGCCAUCUGGGACAACACUGACGCUGAGGCACGAAAGCGUGGGGAGCAAACAGGAUUAGAGACCCCUGUAGUCCCUGUCUCUUAUAC